rnacentral:rRNA from 1 species
UACAGAGGGGGCAAGCGUUAUUCGCAAUUAUUAGGCGUAAAGGGUGCGUAGGUAGUUUUUUUUUGUUUUAACUAUUUAAAUUUCAUUUACUUAAAAAUGUUAAUGGUAGUUGAACGAAAAGCUUGAGUUAAAUAAAGAUUGGUAGAAUUGUUGGCUUAAGGAUGAAAUCUUACGAUCCCAAUAGGAAUGCCGUUUGGCGAAGGCAACUUUUUUUAUUUAACUGACAUUGAGGCACGAAGGUGUGGGGAUCAAACAGG